rnacentral:lncRNA from 1 species
AGCUAAAAAAGUAUCGAACGCAGCUCAUAUGAGUCUGGCCGAUGGCGGGAAGCCAAUCAAGGGACAAAGGCAUUGUGUCAGUGUGUGGAUGGGAAAGUACCUAAGACGGGAUAACGGUUGAGGGAAUGAGGAGCUAGCUGAUAAGAUAGGGAAAGUUGCACUAACCAAUAGUGAGCUUAGCUUUUGCAAUAUGUAUGAGCUAAUUAUAUUGAAUCAUAUAAAAGACGGCUGAGCUAUCCAAUAAAUCAAAGUUCACUGAUCACUCAUAUUGAGCGUCUGUGUCUUCCUUCCGUCAACAACAAGAUAGUGCUGCUGGAAGAGAUCAGGAGGCUGAGGGAGUGUUGCAGACAGCAUGGUCCCUAAUGGAGAGGCCAAAGCAACCAAAAUGAGAGCUUUUUGUCUCUCUGCCUCCCUGUAGCAGUAAGAUCGUGAUACUGAGCUUGUGGUAAAGCACAUUCACAUUUAUUCACCUUUAGAUGGCGCUGGAAAGCCACAUUUCAAAUAGCAGCUCACAGCUUAACUCGAAGUCUUCCUUUGUUAGAACGUCAAUCAAUGUACCUGCAACUAUUGUGCUGACUCAGCACUGGGUGUGUGGGUGGGUGUGCACGCUGUUUUCACUAAUUUUUGUGUGUCAGCAAAAACUUUGCAGUAUUAGGACUAUGGGAGAGCGCUGAAACCAAUAUAAAUGAGUCACUCAAAUAACCAAAUGGUAUAAUAAUGUGGAAGAUAACGGUGAAGGCCUGGGCAGCGGCAUACCUUCAAGGGAAUAUCUUCACGUCCCAGUGGCAGCAGUGUUACAGAGUUGAACACACACCCUAUCAUCAUUUCAACUACUGUGUUGCUGUUAUUACCCUGCACACCCGCCUUGAAUUCAUACUUGUGAAUUGUCUCAGGUACAGCACUUUCUCAGAAUAUUUCCUGCUGGGGGAGGCUAUUUUCCAGCACGCGAACAGGUUAUACCUUCUCAGGUUCUCCAAGAACUUCCAAAUGUUGCAGUUCUGUUUCAGAGGGUUAAGCAUGGGUCAACAGGCACAAGCGGGGCACGGGAAGCAGGCAGGAGAAACGGGCUUCAGCACCCUCAGAUAGGAGCCUAGGGCAAGGCCAAGAGCU